rnacentral:lncRNA from 1 species
AUAAGCCCAGUGUGGCCAAGUCAUCAAGUUCUGUCCCAGCUGCAUUACCUCAGUGACCACAGGUUGGGGCUGCCCAGUGCUGGGCCCACCAAAGCUGCCCACCCAGGCGAAAAGCCAGGCCAGCCUCGAUGCCUCCUGGGGUCGUCAGAUCCAGGCUUUGAGCAUCUCCAGCUGCUCAGACCUGGGCCUCCCUGGACACAGGCCACAGAAGGGGCCGGGCCCAUCCCGCCUGCACGGAGCCAGGCAGCUAUUUACAAACCGAAACCGGGAGAAGUGAAGUGGCUGCGGCGACGUGGCUCCAGGCCCCCAGCCCCCACUCCCACUCCAUCCCCAUCCCCCUCUCCCCAUGGCUUCCUCUUUCCUUCUCCACACAGCUCCCCAGCCUCCCACUGCCCUGCCAGCUCUGUCUGGACAACCUGCAGACACCUCUCGGCGAGACCCCUCAGCCCCACAGUCGCUGGCCAGCAGGGCCCCUUCUCCUCUUCGCCCCCUGGGACCCCAUGGGUCCGGACUCCUCGGAGCAGGCCCUCCCACCCGGACCCAGCCCACUCGGGCCUGCCCAAGGCACAUUCCCACACUUCUCAGUUCCCCUUCGCGCUUGGAAAAGCUCCAACACCAGUGGCCGCCACCACGCUGCCCGUCCCUCCUGAGGACGGCCUCUCUGGGCGUCCUUCACCUCCACAGGAGCCGAGGAGACGGGGUGCUUCAGGGGGACUCAGAGGGCAUAUUUCUGGACAGGAGGACCCAGCCACUACUCUCCUUGAGCUGAGUUUCUGCUCACUCUCUGGGCUGGUGUGGGGCACAGGCCCUCAUGCGGGGCAGAACGAACUGGGACCGAGGGGCCCUGGGCCUGAGGAACCGGCAGGCCAGAGGGCCCUGCAGCAGGCGACUGCUCCCAGGAGAAAGGACAGGCAACAGAAUCAACACUCAUUUCUAGUAACAAACUCCCUCACACUGGUGCAGAGUUUCAGAGUUUCCAUCAGUCCGUUCUUUCUGUCCCCAGAAACAAGCCUAUUCCACUGCCUCCAUCAUUAA